rnacentral:sRNA from 1 species
GAUAUCAGGGUCAAAAGGUCAAAAAGUCGUUCGUGCUUGCUCGAUAAGACUUUUGAGCCUGAGACCCGCCAAACAUGAGAAAGUAGCGAUUUAUGUAGUAAAUCAGCGAAUUUCGAAUGUUUGAAAAUUAUGGGUGCUGCUUCGCAGCGGAGCAAUUCGUGGAUAU